GACGAACGCUGGCGGCGUGCUUAACACAUGCAAGUCGAACGGUGAAGCCCUUCGGGGUGGAUCAGUGGCGAACGGGUGAGUAACACGUGGGCAAUCUGCCCUGCACUCUGGGACAAGCCCUAGAAACGGGGUCUAAUACCGGAUAUGACUGUCUGCCGCAUGGUGGAUGGUGGAAAGCUCCGGCGGUGCAGGAUGAGCCCGCGGCCUAUCAGCUUGUUGGUGGGGUGAUGGUCUACCAAGGCGACGACGGGUAGCCGGCCUGAGAGGGCGACCGGCCACACUGGGACUGAGACACGGCCCAGACUCCUACGGGAGGCAGCAGUGGGGAAUAUUGCACAAUGGGCGCAAGCCUGAUGCAGCGACGCCGCGUGAGGGAUGACGGCCUUCGGGUUGUAAACCUCUUUCAGCAGGGAAGAAGCGAAAGUGACGGUACCUGCAGAAGAAGCACCGGCUAACUACGUGCCAGCCGCCGCCGUAAUAC
rnacentral:rRNA from 1 species